UACAGAGGGUGCGAGCGUUGUUCGGAAUUACUGGGCGUAAAGGGCGCGUAGGCGGCCUUCUAAGUCGAACGUGAAAUCCCCGGGCUCAACCCGGGAACUGCGUCCGAUACUGGGAGGCUUGAAUCCGGGAGAGGGAUGUGGAAUUCCAGGUGUAGCGGUGAAAUGCGUAGAUAUCUGGAGGAACACCGGUGGCGAAGGCGGCAUCCUGGACCGGUAUUGACGCUGAGGCGCGAAAGCCAGGGGAGCAAACGGG
rnacentral:rRNA from 1 species